UGCAGAGAAAUAAGGCGUGGGUUUUCAUUUACCCCAACAAUAUAUGAGGAUUUUAAUCAAUUGUGCCUGAAUUUAGGCCUACAAGCACUUCAGCCUUUUGAUGCCACUCGUGCUACGAGUAGACCAUGUAGAGGAUUUGUUUUUAUUUAUUGGAGACCAUUUUUAAUUUAUUGUAAUAAAUAUUAUAAUUUUUUUUAUUAUGAAGUAAUAUAAAUUUUAUUUAAUAUUCAGUUUUAAUUGUAUUGCAUCAUUUUUUA